CCUACGGGGGGCAGCAGUGGGGAAUAUUGGACAAUGGGGGCAACCCUGAUCCAGCCAUGCCGCGUGUGUGAAGAAGGCCCUCGGGUUGUAAAGCACUUUCAGUGAGGAAGAACGCCUGGUGGUUAAUACCCAUCAGGAAAGACAUCACUCACAGAAGAAGCACCGGCUAACUCCGUGCCAGCAGCCGCGGUAAUACGGAGGGUGCGAGCGUUAAUCGGAAUUACUGGGCGUAAAGCGCGCGUAGGUGGCUUGAUAAGCCGGUUGUGAAAGCCCCGGGCUCAACCUGGGAACGGCAUCCGGAACUGUCAAGCUAGAGUGCAGGAGAAGAAGGUAGAAUUCCCGGUGUAGCGGUGAAAUGCGUAGAGAUCGGGAGGAAUACCAGUGGCGAAGGCGGCCUUCUGGACUGACACUGACACUGAGGUGCGAAAGCGUGGGUAGCAAACAGGAUUAGAUACCCGAGUAGUC
rnacentral:rRNA from 1 species